UAGAAGGUCUCAGGUCUUACCCAGGCAGGGCGCUAGGCUAGAAGGUCUCAGGUCUUACCCAGGCAGGGAGCUAGGCUAGAAGGUCUCAGGUCUUACCCAGGCAGGGGGCUAGGUUUAGAAGGUCUCAGGUCUUACCCAGGCAGGGAGCUAGGCUAGAAGGUCUCAGGUCUUACCCAGGCAGGGAGCUAGGCUAGAAGGUCUCAGGUCUUACCCAGGCAGGGAGCUAGGCUAGAAG